CCUGGCGGCGAUAGCGCGGUGGUCCCACCUGACCCCAUGCCGAACUCAGAAGUGAAACGCCGUAGCGCCGAUGGUAGUGUGGGGCUUCCCCAUGUGA
rnacentral:rRNA from 1 species